AGCAGAAUGAAAGCCUCCAUCCUAUUCCUGACCAGAAACGGUGGCUGGAGGCUGCUUCCUGUGUUUUGGGUGGCAAUUAGUAAGCUGGCACUGCGGGGACCAGAGCACCUCCCAGCCUGCCCUUCCUGUGGGCUCCUGCCACCCAUCUUCUGCCCCAGCUGAGCUCCCCAAGGCCUGGUACUCCCAUCUAAAAAUGGCAGCCCUUCCCCACAGUCCUCGCUACAAUGCCUGGGAACUGCUGGGGCCAGGCCAGCAGAUGACUGAGGAGCUCAGGACACAGCAGGCCCUGAGCAGGGCCGGGCAGGACACACGGCUCCCACUGAACCGGGCCUUCAUGCCAGAACACGCCAGAAGCACAGCCUCCUAACUUCGCCCCACCUGUGGUAAGUGUCCCUCAGGCUCCCAGUUCUUCUUUCAUUCUGGAGAGUGAGCUCACUGCCUAUGGCAUGGCUCCCUGCCUGUCACUCAACCCCACCCCCGCACCCAGGCUCCCCACAGCCACCACUUCUCAGCCCUGAAUUUGAGCCCCUACUCCUUGCACCUGGGACAGAGCUGGCCCAGCACAGCAGAUGCUAAUGAGUACUUGUUACAUUAGGAAACGAAUCAGUUCAACUUUUCUUCUUUGUCAAUGAUUCAAAUUCUUAUAACGUACAUGCAUCCUUUUUUGAAUUAGAAACAGCUAAUUAAAUAUAUUCGGAUGACAAAUCAACAUUUCUUCAAUAUACCAACGUUUUCCAAAAGCAUUUCUCUAGUCUGGAUAAUAAGCGCGAAAUCAUGUUCAUUUCUAGCCUGAGCUCUGCCGCAUGACACGCUCAACAUCCUAAAACUCUAAGAUUCAUGUCUCUCAUCAGGCAGGCAGAGCCAUGGGGCCAGCCGGGGGCCACUCUUACUUGGGAAAAAAAGGAAACUCUUGUGUCAUUGUGUUAUCACAGAUUAGAUAACAGUGAGAUGCUGGGGACACAGGGGAUUUGUUUCGUGAAGAAAAUGCUGUAAGCCACUGCAUGUGUUUGGGUUUUUUUCUGCAGUGAUAGUGGGAGGAAGGGAGGGAAGUAGGAAAAGGAAGUGGUAAGAACAUCCCCAGCCCGGCAGCAGCAGCUGAAAGGAAGUGAUACCGGGGCCAGAUGCCUGGAACUCACCUCUUUCCUUUCUUUCAAGUUUGUUAACAUGACGAUGGUCGCAGACUUUUGCUCCCAGACCAUUCUCCAGAAGUCGUUAACCGUUUCCUGUUUGGGACCUGUGUGUAGAGGACAAUUUCGAAGUCAAAAGGCAUGAAGGGAAGUCCCUUUGGGGUCCCAGCCCCGGCACCCUGGCCGUUGGCCCCUGGACAGCUGUUCACUCCCUUCUCAGGCUUGUUGGGGACACACACGUCAUGCCCUGAAGCGUUCCGGAACCGGUAGGGGCUGCCUGUCCUGCCACUCACCCACUCCAGCUAGGAACUCCUCAGUGGGCAAGAUAAUUGGGCCCAGGUUGAGUUAUGACGUUCACAGGUGAUUUUGAUGGACGCUGACUUUCAGAGCUCAUUGCCCUAAAGACUCCUGGCCUAAGAGUGAGGAAGUCUGAGGAAUCUGGUUUCAGCUCCACUGAUAUCUAACCGCACGUACACCAGGUCCUGCAGAUGACAACCUCUGGUGGAACGGAGUGAUGCUGGAUUCAGUACUCAACACACAAGGUAGCCCUGUGCAAGGUGAAGGGCACGUUUUCACAGCUGAAGUAUAUUCUUAGUUAUGGCCUUGAUCUGAAAAGCUAUUCACCCCACUAACCCCUCGCCCAAACUUGGGGAGCCAUGUAGGGCUCAGCCAGCUGAGAGAAAUUCAAGGUUAUCUGACGCAAGUAUUAACAAGCUGGAAUGGCAGCC
rnacentral:lncRNA from 1 species